rnacentral:lncRNA from 1 species
UAUAUAUAUAUAUGCUGAAAGAAUUUAAAUGUUUUCUUAAUAAUAUUCUUCUACAACUAGUCAGUAGUUGUGAAGUAAUCUGUACCAAUAAUAAUAACAUAACAACCCUCAUUCAAAUUUUUGAAACUACGUAUUGACUGUAUAUGGGGUUUCUGUGACAUACCAUGAACAUUGUUUUUCAUUUUCGAAAAGGUUUAAACAGAAAUUCAUCUGUAAACCGUAUUGACUUACGGGCACGGAGGGUGAUCAGCCCUGUUGUACUCUGUAUUGAUCAAUACUACAUUUACAUGAAUGAUGCUAUCGUUCGCUCUGUCCGCUUUGGGCGCAUAAAAUUUUCCCAUUAUAGGGAUGUUCAUAUCUGUCGGGUUUUCAUAACAAAGGUCUUAUAUAAUUCAACAUAUAUGUAUAUCAAAGGUGUAUCAACAUGCGAUUAAAUACAAUGAUUAUCCAAGUGGGGACACUUGUAUAAUCAUUUAUAGAAAUUAACGAACAGAAUAUAUUUAUCCGAAUUAUCAUAUACUAGCAUGUUGAUAAUCAAU